rnacentral:tRNA from 1 species
GGAGAGGUGUCCGAGUGGUUUAAGGAGCACGCCUGGAAAGUGUGUAUAGGUUAAUAGCCUAUCGAGGGUUCGAAUCCCUCCCUCUCCGCCA